rnacentral:lncRNA from 1 species
UGACUGUCAGGCCACCUUAAGCCACAGUACGGAAGAAGCUGUGCUGCCUGUGAGCCCCGUCCAAGGACGUUAAAAGAAGAAGUCAGGCCCCAAAGCCACGGUUUGAGCAAACCGUGCUGCCUGUAGCUCCGUCGUGGGGACGUAAAAACCUGGGAGGCUGCAAACUGUGGAAGCUGUACGCACAGUGUAGCAGACUAGUGGUUAGAGGAGACCCCUCCCAUGACACAACGCAGCAGCGGGGCCCGAGCACUGAGGGAAGCUGUACCUCCUUGCAAAGGACUAGAGGUUAGAGGAGACCCCCCGCAAACAAAAACAGCAUCGUGAAGCUCA